GGCGGGGGCGCCUGCUGGAACGCAGCGGGGCGAGCGAGCAAUGUUUGGUGGGCAUCCAUGAUGGCGGCCAGUGCGCGGCGCUCCGCUCGGCGUUCUGUGUAAGGCAACGGCUCAGCGCGGAGAGGCGGCGACCAAGCAUGAAGGGAACGCGCGGGUCACGGCGCCUCGUCUUGUGUGCAGUGUCUAUAGACAGAUAGUAAGGGAGACCAUGUCCUGGGGCGGCGGCGGAGGGAGGCUGGCGGCGGGAGGGCUCUACGGGGAUGGCUACAACCAACCCCAUCACCAGCAGCAGCAGGUGGGCGUGGGCGUGGACGUGGGCGUGCAGGAGGUGAUAGCGCGGGCGCUGGAGACGUGUGAGACCCACCACCAGUUCAUCGCCUCGCAGGCAGAGCACCUGGAACGCCUGAGGUCGCAGUGUGCCACCAGCGCCCAGCUCACGCAGCAGGAGAUCCGCACGCUCGAGGGCAAGUUAGUGAAGCUGUUCAGCCUACAACUUGUAACCAAGCGGCACUUACCCUCGGGUGUGCCCUUACCUCGUGAGCUGCAGCUUUACCCCUCGCUCAAGCAAUGGCUGCAAGUGGUUGGACUCUGCAAAGAUUCUGUUAUUGGUAUGUGCCAGAGAGUCUCCACACUAGAAGGAUUACUUGAAAAAAGAGAAAAUGAAUUACGUAACAUCCUCAAUGAUUAUGGAGCCGACAAAAGUGAAGCCCAUAAGCUGGCAAGGGCCAUGCAUAAUCUCAAACGAUACACAGAGAUACAAAUGCAAGGUCAGGCAGGAGACCCAAACAACUCAGACCUGCCUUUAUACUGGGACUCUUGGGAGAACUGCCCUCCUUCUCCUCGAGCCUCUACCCGAGCACAGAGAGAGUGUCGCUCGUCUGUGUCCUCGUCUGAUGGAGAUGGUGGGAGUGUCACCAGUGGCAGUACUAGUGGAGGAGCAUGGAGUGGAGAUGGGAGUCGAGCCAGCAACAAAGGGGCACCAGUCAGUCAACGUAGUAGUGAUGACUCUUCCACUCCUUCCUCACCCCCUCCUCCUUUGUCCCUAGUUCCUCCACUAAGUCCUGGUGGGCCACUCCACACUUCCUCCACUCUAAACCUUCCUGGGAGUAUCACAGUCUUCUCUGAGAAGCGAUAUACUCCUCCCCCAACUCCUAGUAUUAUCCCAAAGGGCAAGAGUUCAGGUGACAAGAAAUUCCCAACAACACCUCCUCCAGGCAAGAAAUACCAAACUGGCCUCUUAAAUCCCCUGCAGCCAUCUUUAGGACGUUCUACAUCGCAUGAGUCACAGCUUGCGCCAAGGGCUGAAGGUCAUGAACAGCAGUCUUCAGCACUUCUCAGAAAGCUUAAUCACUUCUGGUUGGGUGGCAGCUUGGAGCAACUUGUGACUCGAAGGACGCGCCUUCACUCAGAGUCUGAGGCUUCAGCAGACAACUCUGGCAAGAGGGUGGAUGGGAGCCGGACCAGAACGGAGGUGCGGGACCUAAAGACACCUCAGAACUCUCCAGCACCUUCGACUCUUGCCAGCCCCAUCAAGUCACCUCACUACCCAGAUCCUGCCAAAGAUGACAGUCAUAUAAUGAAAACUACUCUUUCAGUACCAAAGUCUCCACGCACCCCUACUCUAGCUGGUUCAAUGGGUCACAAUGUGCAGCAUCGCUUCAUAAAGACGAUCAAGUCUGCCACUUGUGGUUACUGUCAUCACAAGUUUUCUAUUUUAGGUGGUCUGAGGUGCAAGGAGUGCAACUACAAGUGUCAUCGUGAAUGUGAGCCAAAAGUGCCACCUUCCUGUGGAUUGCCACAAGAGUUGCUCAUACUAUUUGCUGAUACUUGGAAGAAGGUUGGUAUGGAUGGAAGUGGUGGACUGCACAGAGGAGGCACUCCAGGAGUCUCUCCUUCUCACCAUCAUACAAAUGAUGUCUUCUCUCCUCUACGGGUCGGCCAGAUGUCCAACUCUCAGCCGUCCAUUAGCAUACCAUCCUUCCAGGACCCCAAUUCCAGUUCGAACACAUCCAGCUGCAACUCCUCAACCCCCUCCAGCCCAGCCCUCAUCAUUUCAGCCUCUCCUGCAAGGCAUGAUGCAUUCCAUUUUCCAACCACUCGAGGAUUCCAUUUCCCAGGCAAAGCAAGGGAGGUGAAUGAGGACUGUGGGGACAUUCCCCUGGAUAUGCGGCUUAUUUCACCCCGACCCCCUACCAAGGCCCCUAUAUCAGCUUCCUCCACCCAAAGUGAUGUGAUAGACUCAAGACAGUCUCAUGAUUCUGACCGCACUGUGUCACAAACCUCAGGGUCUGGCAGUACUGGCACUGAUGAUUCUGAGCGCACAAUAGCAGGUCGUGUAGAUUCGCAAGAUUCCACAGUAUCUGAUGGAGAAAAUGCAGAUCCGCGAUGUACUCGUCAGAACAGUGUCAGUAGUGUGUCCCAGUCUCUCCGAGAAUGGGAUAUUCCCUACGAUGAACUUGAUAGAGGAGAAGUCAUUGGACGAGGAAGAUUUGGCAUUGUAUAUUCAGGAAAUUGGCAUGGACAAGUGGCUAUAAAAGAGUUGCGAAUGGACUAUGUUAAUGAUGAGAAAACUCUUGAAGCAUUUAAGGCAGAGGUGAGCACUUUCCGCAAGACCCGGCAUGAGAAUUUGGUCCUGUUCAUGGGUGCAUGUAUGAAGCCCCCAAGACUGGCCAUAGUGACAAGCCUAUGCAAGGGCAUGACACUCUACAAACACAUUCAUGUACUGAAAGACAAAUUCAAUAUGUCACGCACCAUCUUGAUUGCUCAGCAAAUUUCACAGGGUAUGGGCUACCUUCAUGCAAGGGGCAUCGUUCACAAGGACCUUAAGACCAAGAAUAUAUUCCUGGAGAGUGGCAAGGUUGUCAUCACAGACUUUGGUCUCUUCAAUGUUACGAGACUCUGUCACGAUAGCAGACGAGGCAACUGGUUAAGUAUUCCUCCUGGUUGGUUGUGUUAUCUCUCCCCUGAGGUCAUGAGAAACUUGCGUGUGAUACAGAAACAAGACGAUGGCCUUCCUUUCACCACAUAUUCAGAUGUUUAUUGUUUCGGUACUGUGUGGUAUGAAUUAUUAUGUGGUGAAUGGCCCCAUAAAGGCCUUCCUCCAGAGGCCAUAAUAUGGCAGGUUGGACGUGGAAUGAAGCCUUCCUUGGCACAUCUGCAGGCUUCACGGGAUGUUAAGGACAUACUCAUGGCCUGCUGGAGUUACCGGCCGGAUGAAAGGCCAGAGUUCUCCACCAUGUUGAACAGCUUGACAAGGCUUCCUAAGAAGCGGCUCCACCGCUCCCCUUCCCAUCCUAUCCACCUCUCACGUUCUGCAGAGAGCGUCUUGUAGACAUCGGAUUUCAAGUCGUGAAGACAUGAUGCAACUGUGGUUGAAUUUGGAGAUGCCCCUUCUAGCAGAUGUCAGGCUCCCUUACAGCCCAUCCUCCCUCACCUCCAUCCGUAAACACAUAGGAAUCCCAGGUGGUGGGAGUGAUGUUGCCCCCUGGAGUGGCUUGCCCUGACAGCCUCCCCCCUUUUAGGGUUUGCCUCUUGACCAAGGGUUUAGCUGUUAAGAGCAUCAAGCUCCAGGCUUCAGUCCUCAACGAGUGUCCUCAUGAGACAAUAUUUCUUCUCAUUUUUUCUUGGUUUUCUUUUUUCAAUUUUUUUUUUUCCUUUUUUACUAUUAUCACUGGUUUAUAUAAUGUGUAUCUCUAGAUUUACAGUUCAUUAAUAUUAUGUAUAAUACUUAAUUUAUUUGUACAUACUGAUGUGUCUACCAAAUAUAGUUUGUAUAUAUUAUGCAUUAAUACAUAAGUCUUUUUAUCAUAA
rnacentral:misc_RNA from 1 species